rnacentral:lncRNA from 1 species
AUUUAAUAUUCUCGUGUAUCUAAACGGGAAUGAACUAAGUAAUUAAAUGUGGAGUUUUAUCAAUAUGCAACUCGUUGCAUAUUGAGCUUCACUUAAUGCGUAGUAUUCAAUUGUUGUGAUGGGCCAUGCCUUGCAUAAUUAGACUGAACAUGCAUCAUAUAUCAUUGUGCAUCAUGUCAUGCAUAUGUGUGGUGUUAUCGUGUUUUGAUUAUUGUUCUGAAUUGCUUCUUCUCGAUAGAUAUCCGAACCGCUUCGGAGUGAGAGGAUCCGCUCGACUAUGUUGGUUUGUGUGCUUCACAUAUUCAUUCUUUUUCCAAACAGGAUGUCAUGCAAGAUGACCAUUUACCUAGAUACCAUUACUAUCAUUGCCAUGCUAGGUGUUUCAUUUCUUCGCUAUGUCUCGCUGCCUACAACCUGUUUAAUUAGCCUUCCUACAUUGUCAUGAAAAGCCACUAACCUUUCCACAACCCGGCAAACCAUAGUUUGGCUAUGUUACCGCUUGCUCAACCUUCUUAUAGCGUUGCAGUUGUAGGUGCAGUUUCUUCCAUGUGAAAACAUGGGUUCCUUGUUAUAUCACCAUAUUAUUGCUAAUUAAUUUAAUGCACAUAUAUAGUUGGUAAAAGGAGGAAGGCUUUACUACUAGGAGAAAGCCUAGUUGUAGCGCUGGUUUUACCCAUACGAGUAGCGUUGGGGGCAGCGCUACUGCUAACGCGCUACAGCUAACCUAUUAGCAGUAGCACUGGAAUUAAAGUGCUACUGGUACCUACGUUAGCAGUAGCGCUGGAAUAAAUAAAGUGCUACUGCUAAGCCAACGCUACUGCUAAUAUUUCUGAUUUCAAUAUUUAAUUCUCGUCAUAUUUAUGACCCCUCUACGUAUGUGUGCAUGCUCCAUAUAGUAGUUUCAUCAUAUCAUAAUAAACAUGCAUUAUUCUCAUCAUCAUACACAUAAAUUAGUCUCAUCAUUUAUACCAUCAUCAUCAUUAUCCAACACAAAUAUCAUCAAAUCUCGAAAAUAACGAUACACACAAGUCAUGGCGCACCCACAAGUUUCAUCUUCCCUAUCUAAACCAUCAUGUAGAAGAGAAGAGCGAUCAGUAUGAGCAAGAGCGCGACUAUGUAGUACUUCUUGAGGCACCAAUUUCGCUCCGUCUCUUGCCGUAGCAUCCACCUCAAGUAACUCUUUUCUGCUUCGGCUCUGUUGUCGACCCUGUGUGGCUAGCGCCCGGGUAGCUGUCCACCUCGGCCUGAGCGUGUGGCUAGUUCUCGCACACUCCUGGAACCCUCCCAAUGAAUAUGGCGUAGCAGUCCUUCGCCAUCUCCAGUCUAUGUACCUGCAUCAUAUGUUGAUUAACAACGAUAUAUAAUAUGCAACAUAAUGUACUUGAGAAACACAAAGAGGCAUAGUUAGGAGAAUACAAGUAGUAAACAUAAAUAACGAAG